rnacentral:lncRNA from 1 species
AACUCGAGUUCAUUUGUGAAUCCCGUGAAAAUUCUUUUUUAGUAUUUAUGUUUACUUUGGCUAGAGAUUUUUUGAACUCAGUCUUGUGAAUCACAUAGGACUUCUCAUUUUCUAUCAAAAUCGAUAGAUUCCAUUUAGAUGCAUCCUACUCCAAACAGCGAAUCUGAACCUAUAAUAGCCAACAUACAUAACAAGGAUCCAAAUAGCUAGA